CGCUUUCACUCCUACGGGAGGCAGCAGUGGGGAAUAUUGCACAAUGGGGGAAACCCUGAUGCAGCCAUGCCGCGUGUGUGAAGAAGGCCUUCGGGUUGUAAAGCACUUUCAGUAGGGAGGAAGGUAGUGUAGUUAACACCUGCAUUAUUUGACGUUACCUACAGAAGAAGCACCGGCUAACUCCGUGCCAGCAGCCGCGGUAAUACGGAGGGUGCGAGCGUUAAUCGGAAUUACUGGGCGUAAAGCGCAUGCAGGCGGCCUGUUAAGUCAGAUGUGAAAGCCCGGGGCUUAACCUCGGAAUUGCAUUUGAAACUGGCAGGCUAGAGUCUUGUAGAGGGGGUAGAAUUUCAGGUGUAGCGGUGAAAAUGCGUAGAGAUCUGAAGGAAUACCAGUGGCGAAGGCGGCCCCCUGGACAAAGACUGACGCUCAGAUGCGAAAGCGUGGGGAGCAAACAGGAUUAGAUACCCUGGUAG
rnacentral:rRNA from 1 species